AGCCAGAAUCCACAGAUGCCAUUAUCCAUCUGCACACGUUUGUUUACUACCCAGAAGGCAAGAUUGCAUUUUAAAGUCUUGGAUAGUUAUUCUUUCUCAUCACAAGUGACUCCAGAAGCUCGGACCAUUCACAGUGACCCUGGCUGAAAGUGUCCGUCAAAGCCUUGCUUCCUGGAGUGCUUUGAGAUUCUCGUACAAAAGGCAUUUUCCAAGCACAGAGUGGAAAAACAUCAUUUAUAUUCAUUCGUCGCUGUGGCAUUUCUCCCUGGAAUCUUCCCCUUGUCUGUCAACACUGGGAGAGGAGCACUGACCUCAUCUACAUUACAAAUGGCCUCCCUUUAACAGGAGAUGCCUUGAUUCACGUCAUUCGUUCUAUGAUAACAGGAGUUCAGGAGAGAGCUGUGCUUUGUGUGGACACUUGGCUGCAAAAAGCGUAUUAGAUUUUACCAUCUGUCACUGUGACUUAAAGGAGAAGCACCCGAAAUCAGGGAGGACUCCCUAAGGCAUCAUUUAGAAUCUCUGAGUGGAAGACAUGGCUCCUAACAUCUGAGGUCCGUGCUUUGGUUCAAGGUCCUGGAUAAGGGCAGUAGUGGGUAUCCAUGCACAAGAGGCAGAAAAGCAGUUACUGACAGCGGGAAGGUACAAGGUGUUUUGCCUGCAGGUAUGAAUGUACACUACAGUUUCAUAUAUGGAGACUGGAAGAGGGUGUUGGAUCCCUGGGAUUAACGUUAUAAACAGUUAUGAGC
rnacentral:sRNA from 1 species